CCUACGGGCUGCUGUCGUGGGGAAUAUUGGACAAUGGGCGAAAGCCUGAUCCAGCCAUGCCGCGUGUGUGAAGAAGGCCUUCGGGUUGUAAAGCACUUUCAGUGGGGAAGAAAGCCUUGGGGCUAAUACCCUCGAGGAAGGACAUCACCCACAGAAGAAGCACCGGCUAACUCCGUGCCAGCAGCCGCGGUAAUACGGAGGGUGCGGGCGUUAAUCGGAAUUACUGGGCGUAAAGCGCGCGUAGGCGGUCUGAUAAGCCGGUUGUGAAAGCCCCGGGCUCAACCUGGGAACGGCAUCCGGAACUGUCAGGCUAGAGUGCAGGAGAGGAAGGUAGAAUUCCCGGUGUAGCGGUGAAAUGCGUAGAGAUCGGGAGGAAUACCAGUGGCGAAGGCGGCCUUCUGGACUGACACUGACGCUGAGGUGCGAAAGCGUGGGUAGCAAACAGGAUUAGAUACCCCAGUAGUC
rnacentral:rRNA from 1 species